CCAUUCCGGAUUGGUUCGCUGUCGUCGACAGCGCCUCCAAAGGAGCCAGGGUUUCAAGCUCCGGCGCGUCGCGCUAACCCACCCAAGAUCGCUUAGCACUCGGUAGCGCGAUCACAUCACCUAGUGAUGGAGUGC
rfam:Pseudomonas fluorescens Pf-5, complete genome.